GACGAACGCUGGCGGCGUGCUUAAUACAUGCAAGUCGAACGGAAAGGCCCUGCUUUUGUUGGGUUCUCGAGUGGCGAACGGGUGAGUAACACGUGAGUAACCCGUCCUUGACUUUGGGAUAUCUUCAGGAAACUGGGGCUAAUAUCGGGUAGGAGCUCCUGCUGCAUGGGGUGGGUUGGAAAGUUUCGGCGUUUGGGGAUGGACUCGCGGCUUAUCAGCUUGUUUGUCGGGUAGGUGUAUACCAGGGCUUUGACGGAUAGCCGACCUGAGAGGGUGGACGGCCACCAUGCGACUGAGAUACGCCCCAGACUCCUACGGGCGGCAACAGGGGAAAAUCUGGCACAACGAGCGGAAGUCUGAUACGACAACGCCGCGUGCGGGAAAACGGGUUUCGGGUUGUAAACAGCUUUCGACUGUAACGAAGCGUGAGUGACGGUACUGAGUAAAGAAGCAACGGCUAACUACGUG
rnacentral:rRNA from 1 species